UCAUAGCUAAGCUGGUUCAGUUGGUAGAACAUGAGACUCUUCAUCUUAGGGUUGUGGGUUCGAGCCCCAUGUUGGGAA